GAUGAACGCUGGCGGCGUGCCUAAUACAUGCAAGUCGAACGAUCAAACGCCUUGCUUUUUGGUCUGAGUGUAUCGGCGGACAAGUGGGUAGCAAGUCGAUAGCAACCUGAUCCCACUUGCUGAACUACGGCAAGAAGGAGCGAAUACCACAGAAUAUAUUGGACCUGAUGGUUCAAUAGUGAAAGACGGAUUUUCUUUCGCUUGGAGAUGGGUCCGCGGCGCAUUAGCUAGUUGGUAAGGUAACGGCCUACCAAGGCGACGAUGCGUAGCCGACCUGAGAGGGUGAUCGGCCACACUGGAACUGAGACACGGUCCAGACUCCUACGGGAGGCAGCAGUAGGGAAUCUUACGCAAUGGGCGGAAGCUUGGUGAAGCAGCGCCGCGGCGGGGAUGAAGGUCUUCGUAUCGUAAAGCUCUGUUAUCGGGGAAGAACAAGUGCGUAAGUAAUUAUGCACGUCUUGACGGUACCUAAUCAGAAAGCCACGGCUAACUACGUG
rnacentral:rRNA from 1 species